GACGGAGGGUGCAAGCGUUGUUCGGAAUUACUGGGCGUAAAGCGCGGGCAGGUGGCCUUUUAAGUCCUUUGUGAAAUUCCGGAGCUCAACUCCGGAUGUGCAUAGGAUACUGGAAGGCUAGAGACUGGUAGAGGCGAGCGGAAUUCCUGGUGUAGCGGUGGAAUGCGUAGAUAUUAGGAAGAACACCAGUGGCGAAGGCGGCUCACUGGUCCGGUACUGACGCUGAGGUGCGAAAGCGUGGGGAGCAAACAGG
rnacentral:rRNA from 1 species